AUUGAACGCUGGCGGCGUGCUUAACACAUGCAAGUCGAACGAAGUGGCGAACGGGUGAGUAACGCGUAAUCAAUCUGUCCUUCAGUGGGGGACAACAGUUGGAAACGACUGCUAAUACCGCAAACUGAAGGAGGGGAUUGCGGCUGAUUAGCUAGUUGGAGGGGUAACGGACCACCAAGGCGAUGAUCAGUAGGCGGUCUGAGAGGAUGGACGGCCACAAUGGGACUGAGACACGGCCCAGACUCCGACCGGGGGCAGCAGUGGGGAAACUUCCGGAAUGGACGGAAGUCUGAAGGAGCAACGCCGCGUGAGUGGUGACGGCCUUCGGGUUGUAAAGCUCUGUUAAUCGGGACGCGGUACCGGAAUAGAAAGCCACGGCUAACUACGUGCCAGCAGCCGCGGUAAUUC
rnacentral:rRNA from 1 species